AGCAGCCGCGGUAAUUCCAGCUCCAAUAGCGUAUAUUAAAGUUGCUGCAGUUAAAAAGCUCGUAGUUGAAUUUCUGGCUUGCAACCUUAAGCCGGCCACGGUUUCGUGUGUUAGUGCUUGAGGUUCUGGCCAUCCUUCCAAUCGCUGCCGUUCUGCCUUAACUGAUAGGGCGGUGGUAUUGGAUCUUUUACUUUGAACAAAU
rnacentral:rRNA from 1 species